UGAGGUCAGGCAAGAACACC
rnacentral:rRNA from 2 species